rnacentral:misc_RNA from 1 species
UGUGCCGAGCGCGCCGUAAGCGACCGGCGCGGUGUUGGCGAUCAGGGACAGACCCGAAGCGGCCAGCGGCGAGAAGCCGAGACCGAUCAGGACCGCGCCGGUGAUCGCCACCGGUGCCGGAUGCGCCUUCAAAGAAGGCGCCGAACGAGAAAGCGAUCAGCAGCAACUGAAUGCGCCGGUCGGUGGUGACGCCGCCGAUUGCCCGCUG